rnacentral:ncRNA from 1 species
CGUGGAACAUCUCCCUAGUGCAGAUCUUGGUGGAAGUAGCAACUAUUCAAAUGAGAACUUUGAAGACUGAAGUGGAGAAGGGUUUCUUGUCAACUAUGUUUGUACAAGAGUUAGCCACUCCUAAGGGAUAGCUGAAAAGUGUUUAAAAGAAGUAAGAUAUUAUAUGGAAAUAUAUAAUUAGAUCUUCGUCUCAAAAGGGAAACAGGUUAAUAUUCCUGUGCCAAAUAGAAGUAAGGGUGUGAAUAAAGAAAGAUGGUAACAUACAUACAAAUGAACUCCUUGACAUAGGUUUUACGCUCGGGGUGCGUUAUCUUUGCACUUUAAUUUUAUAGCAAACCUUGGAAUCAAUUUAUUUGGAGAAGAGGUUUGUUGAACUCAAUUCAAAAAAUUUAUGGCUGGGUUUUCGGAUUCAGUUCAUUUUAUUUUUUGUUUUGUAGCAAUAGUAAUUCGUUUUUAUGAAUUAUCCGAAGUGGUAAAAACUAUCCUUGAAAAAAGGAGGGAACGGAGCAUAUACAGGAGGGAAUUUAAUUAUUUUUUUUUUUGAGUUACCUUCUUAUGUGAAAUACUCUUAUAUUCAAUCAAUAAUGAGUGUACCAAUAACCGCAUCAGGUCUCCAAGGUUAGUAGCCUCUGGUUAAAUAGAAAAAAGUAAGUAAGGGAAGUCGGCAAAAUAGAUCCGUAACUUCGGGAAAAGGAUUGGCUCUGAGGACAUUAGAAAAGAGAAGAAAAAAAAGGGGGUUGAAAAUAAAAUUACAGAUUUAUUUGCUUUAUCUUUUCGAUUUGGUUGUAAAUUUGUUUUUCGUUUUUCUUCUUUGUUUUUAUUCUGUUCCUGUUUUCGCUUUCAUUUUAUUGUAAUUUUAGUUACUUAAAUUUUUUGAUAUAUAUAAUGUUAACUCAGAACUGAAACGGACAAGGGGAAUCCGACUGUUUAAUUAAAACAUAGCAUUGUGAAAAACCACAACUGGUAUUAACACAAUGUGAUUUCUGCCCAGUGCUUUGAAUGUUAAGUUGAUGAAAAAUUCAAUUAAGCGCAGGUAAACGGCGGGAGUAACUAUGACUCUCUUAAGGUAGCCAAAUGCCUCGUCAUCUAA